CACCCAUGAGACGCAAGUAACCUGACUGGUGGGAUGGCUUAUGCCUGCACCAUCGACCGACCAUGAUCUUCUGUGAAAGGUUUGAGUACGAGCAUACCUGUUGGGACCCGAAAGAUGGUGAACUAUGCCUGAGCAGGGCGAAGCCAGAGGAAACUCUGGUGGAGGCUCGUAGAUGUGCUGACGUGCAAAUCGCUUUUCGGACUUGGGUAUAGGGGCGAAAGACUAAUCGAACCAUCUAGUAGCUGGUUCCCUCCGAAGUUUCCCCCAGGAUAGCUGGAGCUUGAUCAGUUUUAUCGGGUAAAGCGAAUGAUUAGAGGUACCGGGGAUGAAACAUCCUCGACCUAUUCUCAAACUUUAAAUAGGUAAGACGUCUGGGUUGCUUAAUUGAACCCAGGCACUCAAUGAGAGCUCCAAGUGGGCCAUUUUUGGUAAGCAGAACUGGCGAUGCGGGAUGAACCGAAAGCUGAGUUAAGGCAA
rnacentral:rRNA from 1 species